rnacentral:rRNA from 1 species
GAUGAACGCUAGCUACAGGCUUAACACAUGCAAGUCGAGGGGAAACGAUAUUGGAAGCUUGCUUCCGAUAGGCGUCGACCGGCGCACGGGUGAGUAACGCGUAUCCAACCUGCCCACCACUUGGGAAUAACCUUGCGAAAGUAAGACUAAUGCCCAAUGAUAUCUCUAGAAGACAUCUGAAAGAGAUUAAAGAUUUAUCGGUGAUGGAUGGGGAUGCGUCUGAUUAGCUUGUUGGCGGGGUAACGGCCCACCAAGGCGACGAUCAGUAGGGGUUCUGAGAGGAAGGUCCCCCACAUUGGAACUGAGACACGGUCCAAACUCCUACGGGAGGCAGCAGUGAGGAAUAUUGAUCAAUGGGCGAGAGCUUGAACCAGCCAAGUAGCGUGCAGGAUGACGGCCCUAUGGGUUGUAAACUGCUUUUAUAAGGGAAUAAAGUGAGCCUCGUGAGGCUUUUUGCAUGUACCUUAUGAAUAAGGACCGGCUAAUUCCGUGCCAGCAGCCGCCGUAA